rnacentral:lncRNA from 1 species
AAGAUGACCCUCGAAAAGGCCCCAUGCGUACCACAACAGAUUGACAACAGAAAAGAUUGUGGGGUGUUUUUGUGUUAGUUCCAAGAGGUGUUGAUCAUCGGGAAAUCGAUUUUUAUAGAGGGUAAACCGGUCCAUGGGCUAUGGGUUAUCGAAAACGACUAGCGAAAUUUUUUUGGGGUACAAGAACAAAGAUAAUUUAAACAUCGUAUUUGUAAUAUGACUUACAGACAUAUCAUAUAUUUAGUUUAUGUAUUUACUAGUUGUUUAUUGAUUUUAAUUGCAUUUUAUAUUUUAUAAAACCAAAACUUAUACAUUUUAUAAAAGCAAAACAUGUAGAUUAUAUAAAACCAAAACUUACUUUAAAUGAAAAAUCACAAGUUACACGCAAAAAAAAAAAAAAAAUAAAUUGUAUUCCGGAAUUUCGGAGAGCUCUCCAGAAUAAAGUGUUCUGAAGAAUGUGGUUACUUUUCAAAAAAAAAAAAAAAAACUGAAUCAUUUAUUUUAAAAAUAUAAAUUAUAAGAGUUAGAUUAUUCAAUUUUCCUUUUAACUUAACAUAAAUUUUCAACUGGAGUUAGACCUAAGGACUAUAUGUGCAAAUCAUUUUUGUAAUUUUUUUAUACUUCUAAGAAAAUAUGCAAAUGGGAAGAUUUUCUUGAGUUAAUGGUGUCAACAUGGUGUCGACAAUCCGUUAGACGAACCAUACUCCAAUUUUCUCUCGGGAAUUUAUGUUCUCUAUAUUUCAUUUUGGUGCAUUUAAUUUAUUAUUAUUAUUAUUAUUAUUAUUAUUAUUAUUAUUAUUAUUAUUAUUAUUAUUGUUAUAACAGUAACAAUAAUAUUAACAAUAAUUAAACAAGAAGUAAAAAUAAUAAUUAAAUUAUACUAAAUAAAAGAGACACGAAAAAAAUAAAAGGAUGAAGAGGUCGAAUGAGAAAGUGGUCACAACUCAAAACUUACAGUGUUGUCGAAUACGAAUCUUGGUCAAGACUUUUUUUAGCCUGUGUUUUUCCGACCGGAUAUCGACUGGCCUUUGAAAAUUCAUUCAUAAUUUCCGACGGAAUACCAACAAAUUUUAAAAAUUAAAUAAUUUCUUUUUAAACUCCGUCAUAAAUUGCCGAUGAAAUUCUAACGGUUUAUGAGUGUGUCAGUAGUUCGUCACAAAAUUAUUACAAAAUUAUUGAUUACUUUUCUUUUCAUAUCCUUAUUACUAUUUCGUUGGUAAUUACCGUCAUAAAAACAUGAUGGAAUAAAUGCGCCUUUUUUGUGAUGUAUACCGUUGACUACGUGGAAGUACAAGAAAUGGCAGUUAUAAUGGUGACACAUGACAUAUGUGUUUUGUGUCGCCACUAACACUAAGUGUCGUUGUUAAUAGUGUCUUGUCUAUUGUUUUUUUUGAAAGACAAAUCUAACCUAUUCCUACCAAACUGUCCCUAAUAUCACUUAUGUCCCAGUGAGGACUUGAACCAUCAACCUCUAAGAGGGAGAACAACACCUGAUGUCUCUAGGCUAGAAGCCAUUUGGUUCGUCUAUUGUUUCUAAACCACGAUCUAUGUGAGUUGUCAUCUACUUACCUUGCACGUCGAUAGUAGGAUAAAUCUAAUGGUAAUCAAUCGUGUAUGUUGCAUACCUUUAGCGGCGACGGUGUUAGCAGGGACACCUUGUCGCCGCUAAAACCCCUAAAAAACCCGCAAACAUUUCCCUCUAUAGACUUUAAUUGGUUUCACAAGUACCAAAUAAAUGUCAUAGCUAAAGUCGUAUGUCACCAAUAAAGGUCUGUCCCUUUAGAUCCGUUUCAACACAGUUGACGAUUCUUGGUGCUUGAUCAUAAUUACUCCAAAAAAAAAUCAAACGAUCAAUUCAUUAUUCACCAAUAAUACGUAUAUAGUGGCUUGCCCAUUUGUUACUCUUUUUGUGACGCCCUAAAUUUCAACCAUUUUAUAAGUGUAUGUAUAUAUCUAUUUUAUCUUAUAAAACAUUUUUAGUCAAAUGCUGAAUUUUAAGUCGUACAAACCUAAUUGCGUUAUGUACAAUCAAUUUAUGCAUUAAAAAAAUAGUGAAUCUCAUCUUGUCAAACACGUUAUUGAAUCAAGCACGUUUAGAUAGGUCUCCGUUCUUAUCUCUCAUGCUUUUGACUUAGCCCCUUUAAUCCCUAACAGAGUGAAUGUUGAAUCCUGAUAUUUCUGCUGAUAUCCAUCGAUUCUAGCAUACGUUCCCUUAUUUUGUUAUAUGUACCACCAAUUCUCUUUUCCCCAUACGCCAUCCCAAUAAACCUCACACACACUCUCUUAAAAAUAGAACCUGUUGGGUUCUUGCUUCUUGCUUUUGCCAAACAUCGCAGCAAGCCAUGAUUCUUUCCUCUCCAUCCCUCUUCUCUCUAAGAACAACCGUCAUCAUCUCCUCCAUCAGCCACCCACCCUGGAGAUCCACCCUAAAAUUCGAUCAGAAGAGUGACAACCUUUACUGCCGUCAAUCUCCGACAACACCACCACCACCAUCGAUUCUCCUUUCUACGACAGGUGGUUAUGUAGUGGCACGAGUGAAUGUGUUCGACUGUGGCAUGUUGCUUCUUUUCUUGCGACAUUUGUUGCACUCACAGGUUGAUACAAAUAGACGGGUUGUAGAACAAGCACUCCAAGUGUUUGACGAAAUGUCUCAUUGAAACUGUGACCCAUGUUUACUACACUCAUCUCUUGACCUAGUUAUAGUUUAUAUUUCCCAUUUUCUAUUAGCUUUUUGAACUAUUUUGGUUGUUUUAAAUUUAUUUUAGUAGUUCUAAAUUUUGGAGAUUGUAUUGGCCUUUCCUCUAAUUGAACUUUAGUUAAGGGAACGUAGUUACUUGGUUAGGGAUUUCACAGUGAACAGAGAGGCUAAAGGAGUUUUUCUUCAACUUUGGAGUGGCUCUUGGGUUGGGAACUGAAACUCAUAUAGCAAAUCUGGAAACAAAGAUUUGUAAAUAUUAACAUAUUGUAUUUAUUUCAUUUUAUAAGAUUUGGAAAUAAGAUCUACAAAAAAAAAAAAUUAACUUUUAUAUGUGUUUUUUUUUAGUUUCACCAGAUCUGGAAUUAGAGAUUAAAAAAAUUAAUUAUUAUUUGUUUUGAAUGUAUAUGUUAUGUGAAUGGGAAAUGUUUGUCUUCUUUAUGAUGGAAGCAAUUUUGCAACUUUCUUUUAUACCAUAAAUUUUCUUUUAACCCUCAAAAGUGUAUGAAUUUGUUUAUUUAUUUAAUUUUUUGCUCUAAUUGCAUUUAUGCAUACCUUUAUGCAUAAAAGUUAAUUUCAGAGGUAUCAUCAAAAACUUUGUCAGGUGGUAAUAGUAUUUAAAUUUUGUUUUUUUUAAACCUAAUGUUCCAUGUUUUAAUCCCAGUGUAUACGUUUUUUACUCGGACCUAAAUUUGAUUGACCUAAUGUAGUUAUUGAUUCUUUAAUUUUUUAUAGUUUGAUUGGUUGAACAAAAAAAUAUAAAUUUCAGAUAUCUUCAUUUUAUUUAUGGUAGACCAUUAUAAUAUCUAUUAUGCAUUUAACAAAUAUAUUAUGUUUUUUUAAUCAUAUCAAAGAUUUAGUUUUAUUUAGUUUCGUCCAAAUUCUCUUAUACAAGUUAUUGGUUUAUUUAAAUUAUAUGACAAACUCGAACAAUUUAUGGAUGAGAUAAUUAUUAAACAUCAAGUUUGAAUUUUAUUACAUAAUUUAGAUGGGGCAAUGAUUAUUUUUAGCCUACUUUAAACAUAAAAUAACAAUAAUUUGGUUAUUACAAUAUCCGUUUUUAUAUUGGUCAAUUACAAAAUUUUACAUUGAAAAUCGUUCCAAUUAAUAUGUUAUUGAAAAUGUGAACCUAUCAAAACUAAACUAUUUCCUACGACACAAAAAAAGACCAUCACUAUUCAUUUUUUUUCUUUAUUGAAGUAAAACUUUCCCCUCUGAUUCAAUGAACUUUUAGUUUUAUUCCAAAAUAGUAUAUCAAAAGAAACGUACUUAUCCACCAAGAGGAAAGUGAUUUUCGACUUCACAUUGAGGCAUCAUCCACACGGAUAUCAUAUGUAAAUACAAAAAUAUUAGUGAAGUCUAACAAACAAUUUAAUAGAAGUGAAAUCUAUACAUAAUAUAUAAUACAUAAAAAAGUAUUGCACGAUUAAUAAUCCAUGUCUAUAAAGAAUCCCAAAGUUUUUAUUUUUAAUUCUUAUUGAUUUUGUUUCUAAUAGCAUGAAUCUUAUUGAUAAUUGAUUAGAUGUAAUUAACUAUUUGCGUAAAAGAGUUAAUUGUUAGUAGAAAUUAAUUUCUGAAAAAUUAUUCGUAUCCGUCGCUUGGCGCGGGUAAACGGCUAGUAUAUAUAUAUAUAUAUAUAUAUAUACACACACACACACACACACACUAGGUUAUAANNNNNNNNNNNNNNNNNNNNNNNNNNNNNNNNNNNNNNNNNNNNNNNNNNNNNNNNNNNNNNNNNNNNNNNNNNAUACAACCAUUUUAAUAAAAAUGUAACAUCCCGAAAAUCAUAGGGUAAAAUUUCAUUUUUAAUAUGUAUUCAAACAUUCAUUCAUCUUUAUUCAAACAUUUAAAGGUAUUCAAAAGUAAAACAAUUAUCAGAGUAAAAUCCCAAAAUCACAAAUUGCAAAAAAAACACGGGGGUAUAUGCUGCGAUCAAGCCGGUCAUUUCCUUUCGAAUCGAAAGUACCUGAAACCACAAACCACAAACUGUAAGCAUAAAGCUUAUUGAGUUCCCCAAAAUACCACAUACCAUACAUAUCAUAUAACGGGCCCCGCCUAUACUCGCAUAACAAGCCCCGUCUAAUAAAUAUACAUAUACAAGUACAUACAAGUAUCACACAGACAACGAGUAUAAUAACAUAACCAAAAGAGGGUCGGUUAUGGUGCCUUAGACUCGCUAAACCCAGUGAGGAAACUCACCACAACAGCUGAUCCUACGAAAAUAACUGCAGAUCUACUAAAAUCCCCGCGCUAUCAAACAAAUAACACCCAAUUAACAAUUGGGUUCCAAACCAAAUCCAAUAAUCCAUAAAUAGCGUAAAAGACCAUUUUACCAUUCAGCUUGUUUGGUCCAAGACUAAGGCCCAAACUCCCUAUCAAAGUCGAAAAACCAAAAGUCAUCCAAAGCCCACUAAUAGCCAAAAUUUCCAAAUUGGUCCCAAUCGUUACAUGGGUCUUACCCUAAAGCCCAAUAACUUAUCCUUAAUCCAAAACACAUAUUCAUAACUAGUCCAACAAACCCCAAGCAGUUUAAGCCCAAACGAUAGCCCAAAUCCGAAAUGACAACACAAGGCCCAAAUAUCCAAAUUAGGCCCAAAUCCAUCAUGAACCUAUCCCGAGAAGGCCCAAUACCCAGAAAGGCCCAAAAGAUCUAAUGGUCAAUCCUAGUCCACUUAUAGUUAAAGGUCAAAUGCCCAAAAAAGUCAACAAAAGAAGAAAGGUCAAACAGGCCGAGUACGCCCUACGUACUCAGCUGGUACGCCCAACGUACACCCUUUGGGGCUAGUACGCGCAACGUACCAGAUGGGUACGCCCAUCGUACUCCCCUGAACCCCAAUCUCCUUCGUUAAGCACUUCGUCACUUAAGUCCUUGCUCCAAACUCUUAGAUCUGAUUCCCAUAGAUGACUUAUUACGUAAAGUUGGCAACUUUACUUGCAUACAUGGCUUAAUGGGACUCUAGAGCUCCAAAGAGCUUAAUGAAAGGUCUUAACACAUGCAUGACUCCAAAUAAACCAUGAAGAUCACAUUUUUAUGCAUUUGGGACACCUAAAACGUUCAGGUCCACAAGAUCAAUCCUAUGAAGCAGCUAUAGCUCACAAGAACCACCAAAAGAGGCUAAAAUGACUAAGAACAAACCCAAAAGAAGAUAUAACCGAAGAGUGAGCAAGAUAGAGACUUUAUACCUUCAAGAUCACAAAAUGAUGAUGUAACUUCUGGAUCUCUAAGCUCCUUUCAAGAUAGUGAGUCUUUAACCUUCUCCUUCUCUUGCACAAGCCACCACAAACACUCUUCCAUGCUCCAAGACUCACUUAAGGCGCUCUAAGGUUUCAAGGUAGAUGAAUGGGGAUGAAGGCAGACUUAAAAGACCCAAAGGAAGACCAUAAUGAUGUUUGUAUAGGGUAGGAACCCCAAAAUUAGGUUUUGCUCUAAAGGGAGUACGCCCCGUGUAUCCCUUAGUACACCCGACAUAUUCUAACACCAUCCGCGACCACUUAACCCUCUAUGCCCCGCGUUCACAAUGAGUACGCCCUGCAUACUCAUUGAACCUCUAAAACCCUAACUUCACUUGGCUCUAACUUCUUUCUAAGUCCGUUCCAACGAACUUUAUAUCCACGGAAAGGCGACGAGAAGCCCUCCACUUCUAAUAACUCACCCAUCCUUAAAACCUCCCGAACAAUAACCCAAAAUUCAUGAAGACCCGAACCGCCCAAAUUAUGAUUAUACCCUUGGGCUCUAAAACACAAUCGAACUCUCGGAUCACUAAAACCAUAAUACCCACAUCCAAAAAGGGCCAAAUCCUUUUUCCCCAAGGCCUUAAGCCUCAUGAAAGCUGAUGAUUGGGCCACAACCCCGAAUAAUGAAUCAAUCUAAAACUGAGUGUUGCAACUCUCCCCCACUUAAAUUAGAUUUCAUCAUCAAAAUCGCUCCUUGCUAACACUCAGAUCAUAUCAAACAACCCGAGGAAUGCAACCGAAAACCAUGAGCAUAAAACGGCCUUCACAAGGAAAUCAAACCCCUCACACAAAGAAAAAGAAACUUCUAACCCGAAGAAUAGAGAUGGCAACAGGGGAGGGGAACAUAGGGGACCCCAAUCCCCAUCCCCAUCCCCGAAUCCUCAUUUCAAUCCCCAUCCCCAUCCCUAUCCCCAACGGGGAAUAUAAAUAAACCCCCAUCCCCACCCCCAACGGGGUUUGGGGAUCCCCAACGGGGACAUGUGGAUUUCUUUUUCUCUUUUAACAUGCAAACUCUUAGAUAAGAAAAAACUCUAUAUUUCAAUUUUACGAGCAUAAGUUUAAAGAUUUUAUAAAAUAUAUAAGUACCCAUAAAUUGCAGAAAAAAUAUAAAUAAAUUUUCUACCAAAUUUAAAUACAAACAUGAAAAAUCAAGUAGAAAAAAUUAUCAGAUUGAUAUUUAAGGUAAAAUAGAUCAACCAAAGAGAAAAAAAAUAUAUACACGAGUUUAAAUUAGAUAAAAGAAAAAGCAAAAAGUAUAAUUUAAACCAAGUAAUUACUAAUGAGUAAGGUUACUUAGAUCAAAUUUUAUGUAUUAUAAACUAUACUAUAAAUAUAUGUUAUGUAAUAUUUUACAUAUUAAUAUAUGUCGGGGGAGGGUCAAGGGUCGGGGAUUAAGGGUAUCCCCAUCCCAAUCCCCAUCCCCACUUUUUUUAUUCGGGUAUUCCCCAUCCCCGUCCCCAUCCCCGGUCAACCUGGGGAUUCCCCAGUCAAAACGGGGGCGGGUUUCGGGUUCCCCAUUGGGUAUAGGGAUUUUUGCCAUCCCUACCGAAGAAGAACAAAUCCUUAGCCCCUACAGAAAACCAAUUCUACAUUUCCAAAACCUGAAAUCUUACAUUGGUCUGACUCGCCGACAGACCGUUCACGCUGAAACAUUACCUCGCCAGUUCCUCAUCGAAUAACAGACUAAACAAAACACUUCCAACCCUGAUUAUCUUGAUGCUACCAUAGGGAACAAAGUCACUGACCAUAAAUAGUUGCAGAACACUUAUACUUGACAGAAGCUCAGAUAAUCCUUCGAGUAGAAGAUUUAUCCCUACAACAGUUAGACUCAAACGAGAGCUGUGCAACAGGGUCAAAUCAAUUACUCUGAGAUUAUUUAAUCCAAACUGCAAAUGACGUAGCAUUUUCCCGAACCACAAGCUACUCCACACACCUGAAUCCUAAAUCACUAACACUUCCCAGAACAUCAUGUUGCCUCCUAGAUGCUUCCAAAAGCAGCUGAGACCUCUCUGGUCCCAACUUAUCUGCCAACUAUCUGGAAUACCAUAUUCUUGCCCGGUUUCUAAGCCAAAAGACACCCACACAGUCGCCCCAUGUGACUUCUGGAAGAAAGCCCCAACUGAUAAUAAACGAAACUAUAUCGCCACCAAACCCAAUGAUAAACUGAACGCUACAUAACCAACUGUAGUCUUAUAUCAUACCCAACCUCCGACGACCUACCAUUUCCUGAUUCCAAGCAUGUUGUGCCCUUCACACAGUCUCACGAGCUAACCCACUCUGGUCCUAACCAUCUGGAGAAAUAUGUGACCAAUCAAGGAUUUGCCACACCCUUACCGCUGCAUAAGGACCGGUGAAUGAUACGGGCCACCCCGCAAUCUUACAACACUCCCACACUAUCUGCCAACUAGUAAAUGCUACGAGCCACCCCGCAGUCUUAUAACACUUCUACACUAACUACCUACUAGUGGAUGCUAUGGGCCCUCUGUAUUCUUACAACACUUCUACCUUGUCAUAGCCGCCACCCAUGGCCUUACUGCUAAUCUAUCAAUCCGAACACAUCCAAAGUCAAGCAUGCGCUCGACCAAGCACCCACGCUGAAUUCGAGUCUUGACUGGAAUCCCAACUCGGGUCCAUCAAAAGCCUGAUAUCUAUCACCAAGAAGGUACUAACUAGUUGUUAGGAGGUUUCCCAAACUCCCAACUCACCUAAUCCUCAAUCCGGGCGACCACUUGGGCCAACCUUCCCCUACGAAGAUGUGAGACUCAUCCAUGUCUCACACCUGAUUCCUAUCUCGGAGAUAUGAACAGUUCUCCCCCACUUUUAUCUGACUAAGCUCUCCCAACACUCAAGGUUUGAAGGAUUCCCAAUCCAUCUUAACCCCUGAAGAUUGAACUGCUAACAGCCUACACUUACUCGCUACACCCAAAGACUUCACACACCUGAAGACCAUAUGAACACUCCCUGAAAUCCCAACAAAACUGAUGACCCUAGAUGCUUAUAAUGAUACAAUACCGAAAUCUUAAAGCCCUUUGAACUAAUGCCCGGACCAAAACCUCAAAAAUAGACCACUUCCCUUGGCACCCCUAAGAGCCAACCAAACACAAUUGCUAAAACCACUGAACCCUAACUAUACUGAAGAACGAACCCUCUGAAUCAUGAAUAAAGACCUACUACACAAUACCCCUGAACUAAUCUUGACCAUGAACCAGAAUAACAACUGAACACUUUGGAAUCCACCACACGAGAUACAACCCCUUAAUAAUCUACUAAUGAUUCAUGGCAUGCAAAAGGCAUAUAACACUUCUUGAAUAUAUAACCCAAACAUAAACAAAGAAAUAAACCAAAAAUAGCGCUCACCCAAAACGAUACAAAAUCCUAAACAUUAAAAACAUGAAUAACAACCAAAGAAGGCAAAAGAUAACAUACCCGCAAUACUGUCUGAAGAAACCUCGAAUCCCUCUUCCUGCUGAAGUACCUGCGAUGAAACCUGAGCUGUCCCAACCACUAGGCGGGGGCAAUUCGCCCUGAUAUGACCAUGUUGAUGACAACGAUGGCAUAACUCUACCUCCAAUGUGAAUUAUUGCCGGUGACCCUUCCAUCCGCACCUGCUGUACUUAGACCUGUAGCGCACAUCCUCAUCUAUCCCUUCAUCCCUCGUGCAACCAUCUCGACCCCUUGGGUCUCUAACACCAACUAUGGUAGCGUCCAACUGCUCAUAUCAUUAAGCCAGACCAAAAGUUCGCUUCAUCUUCCCCCACUGUCUAUCUAAACCAAUCUCCUACUCCCGGGUUACCCUGACCACCCCAUCAACCGCCCGAAUAACUAAGGCCCGACCCUCGAACCUGGAGACCACUCUAUCGGUGACAUGCCCAAUGAUGUCAGGUAACUCCUCGCAUAAGGCUCACAAAACCUCUGCAGAAAUCCAAUCGUGUGGUUGACUCUCCUAAAGACAUGAUUCACAACUUACCUCCGAUCCCAAAUGAAAAAAGCUAACAAUAGGAUCCUCCUUCCUGAAGGAUCCUAGGGGUCCAUAAGCUCUGGGCUCCAAAUGAGCUCCCAACUACCCUGCUGCAAUAUCAGGCCGAAAGGCCUAGAGUCAACUAUCCAAUAGCUCCAAAAUACCAUCCUUGACUGAACUAAAGAUCAAAGGAGUCUACUCCAAAAUAUUGCGGGUAAUCUCUGACGAGAUGAACUCCUGCAUCUGCUCGUUAAUUGACUCAGUACUGCACCUGAUCCGGAAUAAGAACCUAAACCUCCUCCCCGAGUGCUCAUCACAAGAUUGAAAUACGACAUUCCAACGAUCAGAAUGUAUCAAAAAAUCCUUCUACCAUAAGCUUCUUAGAUUCUCCAGGACUCUCCUUUAUUCGAGUAUGGAUCCUAUUCUUUCAAUAGAACGGACCCAAUACUACCUUCCACACCUAUCCAUACUUUCCUCAAGAAUCAUCCCGAAUCCUCUAAGUCACCUUCUCAAACUGAUGCACCAAAAACUCACUAAACUGCACCACUAAACCCACUGAAGCAUAUCCUAGACUCUCCUAGGAUCCCUACCUCACCAUGCCCUCAGCUGUUGAAGUAUUCCCAUUAAUGUCAACUAGCUACAUCAUGAAUAUAGUUACAUGCAAUAGAGAUCAGAUAAUCCUUUGAGUAAAUGACUCAAUACUAGAGCGGUUGUACUCAAAUGAGAGUUACAUAAUAGGGUCCAUCACUAUAAGAUUAUUUAACCCGUGCAACAUGUGACCUAACAUAUUCACUUAGUGUAACAUUAUGGAAUUUUGUUAAGUAUCUAUUUAAGACCCUUGAAGUUAUAAAGUAUUGCAAUUAAGCCUUGAGGAUGUAAGUGUUGCAAGUUAGUACCUGGAGUGCUUGAAAGGGGUGGUUCGUCAAUUACGCCCAACAUAAUUUGGUCAUACGCCCGAUGUAAGUUGGAAAGUGGACGCGAGUGUUUGGAGCUACACGCCCAACGUAAUGAGCUAGAUCGCAAAACCCUAAAUGUUAGGGUUGGAUCACUAUUUAAACACCUUAAGAGCCAUGUGUUAGCUUCUCUUUCAUCCUCCAUUCUCCUAAAACCCUAAUCUCAUACCCUAGCCUCAUCCAAGAGUGUUGUGAGCUCUUUUUGUGCAUCUUUGGUGGGUUUUGGUGAAUAUUCAUGAGUGAAAGCUUUGUGCAAGGUGGUGGAUCAAGGGAAGGCUUGUGGAUCUCAACCCUUUGCUUUAUUUCUAGCUUAUUAAAGGUAAAACGUUCUAACCUUGCUCAGUAGACAUUGAGAUCUAAGAUUAUGUGAGUUUUGGUCCCAUUUUGACCUCAUGGGUGAGAUCAAGUGGUUAGACACCACUCCGGGAGCUUUGAGUUGCUACUCUUAGCAUUUCUGAGGUUAUAAGUUCAUAAAGUUGUCACUUUUAAGGUUAAAAAUCAUCCAUACAUGAGUUGUUGUCCAUCCAUUGAAAAUAGAGUGUUGUUUAUUGAGGUUGGGUCCAUUUUAGGACAUGCAAAGUACCCAAGUUCGUGACUUUAUGGUUCCAGACGUUGAUUAAGAGUUGGAUUUGAGAUUUGGACUUCUGGUCCUAAGAAAUAAGGGCUAAUGGAUUUGUUUAGCUGAAUGGUGCCAUACGCGGGGCGUACAUUAUGGUACGUUGAGCGUACGCGUGAGCCAAUCUGUUUCCUAGCCAGUCUGCCCGGUACUACCUGGGUUAUGCCAAGAGUAAGUUGCUCAGUGCGAGUUUGAGUUACUUUCCACUUUUGGGCUUAAAGGCUUUGUUCACAUGUUGGGCUUAUUUAUAUUUCUGGGCUCGUUUAUGCUUGAGGAUUUUAUUGAGAUCUGGUCUUGUUUUUAAACUUUCCUUGUUGGAUUUAGGAUUGCAGUUUUGGGCCUUAGUGGGCCCAAAGGGCUUGAGCCUCAUAGUGUUUUGGACUUUGUUCUUUGGGACGUUUUGAUCCAUCUAAGAUCAAUUGUUGGAUUAAGGGAAUUAUUGGGCUUAGGAUAAGGCCCAUAUGGGGGUUGGGCCCAAUUUUAAUAAUUGGGCCAUCAGUGGGCUUUUAUGAAUCUUGUAAUUUUGGGCAUUUUUGGUUGUGGGUUUGGGCCUCAGUUUUGGUUCAUGUUGGGUCAGGGGUAAAUGGUCAUUUUACCCCAAGUAUGGAUUAUAGAUCAUAGUUUGGAACCCAAUUAUCACAUGGACUCGUCGAGUCCCCCCAUGGACUCGGCAAGUUCAUGCUACUCGACGAGUAGGAUGAAUUAACACAUGGACUCGUCGAGCCCCCCAUGGACUUAGCGAGUUCAUGCUGCAAAAUGCAGAAAACUUGAGUUUUUUCAACAACUUGCAUCAAGUAUCAAGAAAACAAGCCUAGGCUCUGAUACCACUGAUGGGUUUUAAGCAUUCUAACACUCCUAUGGUGUACAUGAAACCCUAGAAACCUUAGAUCUAUGUUUUACUAAGAUACAUGCAAAUUUGCUUUUCCAAGGUUCUUAAGCUAACUAGCAUGGCAUGGGGAACUUUGAAACAUAAUAAGCUAGUAGAGAUACAUACCUUUCAGUAGUGGUUGAUUGCUUGAAGUUUGAGAGCCUAGCACCAAUAAUGUGGAUGCCUAAAAAGGAAGUCACAAAUCACCACAAACCUUGGAAACUUUAGAGAAUAGUAGAACACUUCUAGAAAUCGUGACCCUUAGUUCUCACACAAAAACUAGUGCCAUUUCAAAUGUCAAGGACUGCUUUAUAUAGUGUGGUGGAUUAGGCUUACAUCCAUGUAAACCCUAAUACCCAUGACCUUUCAUUUCCAUGAGAUCCAUGGGUUAAAGCACCAUGGACUAUCCAUGGACUAAAUAAGCAUUAGCCCACACUAUAUAAGUACAAGAGUUCAUAUUUAAUUAGUCAUGCUUUUGAUCACUAAAUUAAUUCCAAAUUAAUUUUAGAUCAAUACUAAUUAAAUAAUAUGAUUUCAUAUUAAUAUAUUAGAACUUAUAAUAUAUUAAUAAAUCAUAACUUAUACUAUUCUUAAAAGAUUAUCCAUAUAAAUUGUUCAGGUUAAGUGCAACCCAAAUGGACCAUGCUGGGUCAGGUCAAGUACAUCUCAAAUAUAGUUAUGGACUUAGACACCUUAUCCAUCAGUCUCCCACUUGGAUAAGUCUAAUAACUAUAGUUGCAAUUAUGACUUUAGGAACCGACUGACAUUCGUAGCUCUUAAAACUAUGUUGAACUAUGAAAUUCCAUUUUAGAUAAGGGAUCAUAUGAUCCUCUAUUCUAGAUAUCAGCCGGACAAAUACAUGGAACAAUGUCAUACUUAUUGUCCAAUAGUUUGUUUCCCAAUUUCCGAUUUGUUUGACAUAGAACUUAAAUGAACACAUCAACUUAGUUCUGACCGGGCCCGGUACAUGGGUCAACACAAAAUCAUCGAGGAGCCCAGAUAUCGCUUCUAAUCCAAGAAGGAAUAGAUAAACUUCGAUUCAUAUGCUUGUUCUACUAUUUGUUGAAUCAUACACAAAGGCACGUUUUAUAAAAUCGAGUUACCAAUGUGUUUUCGUAUAAUCAAUUCAUGACCAACUCAUAGUCAACAACUCAUAUCUCUAGGUUUGAAGACUUAUAUGAUAUUAUCGUCUCACGAUCACUCGAGAUAAAUUCCAUGAAUUGAUACAAGCGAGCAUGGGUUAAAUCUAAUACUCAGAACUUAUGAGCACUCAUGAGUGUUGUAGCAACACUUUGCUAUGUACAACAUCUUAGACAUCUACAAGCCAACUUCAUGACAGUCUUGAUUCAUAUCUACUUCCAACAUAUGAUGUCACACCCCCAAACCAGACGGCGGAAACGUCCGGGGGUGGAGGACUUCAUUUGUAGUAUCACAACACAUGUAUCAUAGCAAUCAAAGUACAAACAACCAUUGUAUUUAAUAAGUAUAAGUAUUUACAUAUAGGGGUGAGUGCGGUGCGGUUAUUGGCAAAAAUCUCACCACUAACCGCAAAUGCGGUUAAUCCAUUUUCAAAACCGCUUGGUGCGGUUAUUUUUACAGUGCGGUUAGGCGGUUAUUUUUGAGGUGCAGUUUUUUUUUGUGUUUCGGUUAUUAACCACAUGGAUUUGGUGCGGUUAUUAUGUUUGGUUUUUAACCGUAUUUUGGAGUUCAAACAGUUUUAAGAGUUUAAAGAUAUUACUUGUAGUAAUAAAAAACCAUAAGGUAUAAGACAAUUAGCUUAAAUUACAAACAGCUAAUAUCUUAAAAACGUUAAAUCACUAGUAAUUAACAAUAAAUAUCUUAAAAUUAUCAAAUUUCACCAUUUUCCAAAGCUAAACAGAAGAAAAAACAAACAUUUUUGUAUUUUAGAAUUUUAUCCUUCUUUCAUCCAUAAAACUUGUCUUAUUUUUACUAUUUAGUAUAUUAAUAAUUAAUAAUAAAAAUUUGUAUAUAAUAUAUGCGGUGCGGUGCGGUUUUCUGCAGUUUUUGAAAACUAAUAACCGCACCGCACCGCAAAUUUGCGGUUUUUGAAAACUAUAACCGCACCGCACCGCAAAUUUGCGGUUUUUGAAAAACAAAAAACAUCAACAUCAGUUUUUAUUGCGGUUUCGGUUAAUCGGUUGCGGUUAAUUUUAAUUGCGGUGUGGUUUUUGCUCACCCCUAUUUACAUGUGUUCAAUCAUUGUAUAUUGAAACCAAAAUAGUUAUACAAAAGAAGAAGAUAUGACUCAAAGUAGCUCCAUCUUCUCAAAAAGCUCGGGGAGUACCUGUUUAUUAUUUCUCUGAGAAUACAAGUAAUUUGAAAAGAGAGUAUCAACAUAAAGUUGAGUGAGUGCGUAAGUGUUUAUGUUUGAAAGAAUGUCUCUGUUUCUUGCAUAUGUAAACUGUUCCAGAAAAUUCUAUAUUUUCUGUUGUAUAUGAAAAGUAGUUUUAUUCCCAUAAAACUGUUCUAUUUAUAAAUCAAUGCUUUGUAUUUGUAUUUCUUUAUGUAAAACUUGUAACUGAGAGUGUGUCUGGUUCCACCAGCUGUUAUUGAAAACGGUAUUGUACUAUUGUAGUUUGUAUUCUGUAAACUAGUACUUUGAAGGUGUACUUACGUUUAGUUAAUUAUACACUAAUGUAUCGUUAAUAUCUUUUUAAUGAGUUAUUAUAACCAUACUAAUCAUGAUGGCCUGAAACAAACGCUUUGUGGGCGUUUAAACUGUUGAUAACAAUUGUCACUCAUUGGCGAGUAUGCCUGAUAGUAGCUAGCAGCCUGAGUGCGGGGUUGUCAAUCCCGAUAUAGAUCUACACACAACUUGUUUCGAUCCCCUGAUUGGAGACUCUGGUUAUAAUAUCAGGACUUUACCUUGGUUGCCUAAAUGAAUUAAACAACCUGAAUUGAAUGUCUCAUAAAAAGCAUAUAAACGUUACAUGUAUAAUGAAAACCCAAUCAUUAUGAAAUAAAUGAUUGAUUGUAUAUCCAUGAAUUAACAUGUAUUUGAAAGCUGUAAACCCUUGAUUUGUUUUGAAUCAAACCUUUGUUUCUUGUAAAACGGUGUAUUCUAGUAUACUUGAAUCAUGAAUUGUUGUUCUAUGUAUCAUAAAUUAAACUUAUUAUAAUUUAUAUGUACUUUAUGAAUUGAUAUUUAACUAUUUUUGCAUGUAACCCCUUGCUCAACAUGUCACAGAGGGUAAUUAAACUGAUGAAAUAACUUUUAUAUUUAUAUACAUAUACAGUUAUAUAUAUAUAUAUAUAUAUAUAUAUAUAUANNNNNNNNNNNNNNNNNNNNNNNNNNNNNNNNNNNNNNNNNNNNNNNNNNNNNNNNNNNNNNNNNNNNNNNNNNNNNNNNNNNNNNNNNNNNNNNNNAAAUAUAUAUAUAUAUACAUAUAUAUAUAUAUAUAUAUAUAUAUACACACACACACACACAAAUAUGAAUUUUUGGGAAAAAUAUAAGUUUAUAAAAGAGUUCAAUAUUUGGAGUAUUUUUGAUGCCUUAAAGUCAUUUUAUUGUGAUUUGAAAUCAUUUAUUUGUAACAAAAAGUUUUUGUGUUAUACUUGUAUUUCCCCCCUUAAAACAGUAGAAAUUAUGAAAAUACGGGGGUAUGAACUCACUUGAUAAGUGGUGAUUUGGAUAGCGUUUCGUUUUCUGGAAAGGAGUUUAUUUGGCGAAAAAUCGGCUUUAAUCAGGCAAAGUUUCGACUGGAGUGAGGUUGUUUUUCUUGGGAAUCUCGGGGCUUAAAGGCUUGAUUAGGGUUUUAGACUUGAUAUUGGGGCUUUAGGGGUUGUACAUAAUUUUGUGGAAAUGAAAGAAGUGAAAAGAAAUGGAAAAUGGGGUGAAAUGUGUGAAAAAUCCGAGAAGUCUCGCACCCUUUAUAUAGGGGUGCGGUCCGAGAGGUGAGUCAGCAACUACGCGUUAUCAGCAUCGAAGGCCACGAGGCCGAAGUCGGAGCCAGCGAUGCGAGGUUCAGAAUGCGCCACCGGUGCGAGGCGCGCGUCAGAUCAGGAGAGGGCCGAACUUCGGUCCAAUCAGGAGGCGCCACGUGCAGCUUUGAUCCAAUCAACAGCGAACACCUGUCUGACAUGGGGAGGCCUCGCAUGCAAGGUGAUGUGGCAGAAGGGUGACCAUGCGAUUUUUCCCGGUUUUCAACAUUUUUCGAUUUUUGUGCAAAAAACUUGCAAAAUUCAUAACUUUCGCAUACGAACACCGUUUUUGACGUUCUUUAUAUACACGCGUAGGUAAAAUUAUACUCUACGACUUUCAUUUACACUUCAUCGACUAAUUUUGAAUUUAUUUUUUAAUAUCAUUAUUUUUAAAAGACCGGGACAGGAAAAUCCGUUAAAAAUUCAUAAAUUCUUCAUCCGAUGUCCGUUUUUGUCUGUUUUUUUACCGUUGUACUACUAUUGACGAGACCUUUAAUUCUCAUUUAGGUUGUGUUGGCUAAAAAUCAUUUGAUAUUUAUUUCGAGUUUUUAGAUGUACACUGCUUUUCUGAAACUUAGAAAAAUCAUGACUUCCUCAUACGAAGUCAGAUUUUGGCGUUCUUUUUAUGAAAGUUCUCGGUUUAACAUAAUCUACAACUUUCAUUUAGAUUGUUAUGGCUAAAAAGCCUUUUAUUGAAAAUUCAGUUUUUACACUGAAUAGUGGUUUGUCGGGUUUGUCGCGGAUCUUCGAUUGGUCAUAACUUCUUUGUUAUAACUCAGAUUUUAGUGUUAUUUACAUUUUUGGAAACCUUGUUACAAUCUUUACCACUUGGUUCAUCCCAAUCGAGAUUGUUUAAUACUUUAUAUUUUAGAGUCAAUUAUGUAAAUAUACACAGUAUGCUAAAAAUUUUCUUUAUUAUUAAAAAGAAGUACAAAUUGACCUACAUUAUUACAUAGGUUUGAAAUAACGGUUUGUCACAUAUGAACAACUGUGGAGAAUUUGAAUAAUAUGAUAUACCAUAACAUAAUUAUUCUGGAAGUCAAAACAUGCAAAUUGAAAUGAUAGUAAACGAUUGACAAAAGAUAGCAACACUUUACUUAUAAAUAAUCAACAACUUUUAUUUAUCAUCAAAUGUCAAUUACACUUUACAAAUUUCAAAGCUAUCUAAUUUCCAAAACUAAUAUCAUCCUUUAGCCCUAUGCACCUUGCAUGAUGAAGAUGCUUAACCCUACUCAGUCCCUUCGUGAGGGGAUCUGCUGGGUUCUUAUCUGGUGAUACCCUCUUUGCCACGAGGAGCCCUUCUAUUCGAUGUCUGAUGAAGUCAUAUUUUCUAUCAAUGUGUCUAGAUCUGCAAUGAUCUCUUGGUUCCUUGGCUAAGGCAACCGCACUAUUGUUGUCACAGAAAUAUCCAUAGGCUCCUUUAUAGCUGGUACAACUCCAAGGUCUCCGAUGAAGUUCUUCAUCCAUAUCGCAUCCUUUGUUGCCUUGUUUACUGCUAUAUACUCUGAUUCGCAAGUUAAAUCAACCACUAUAUCUUGCUCCUUCGUUUAAGGUAAAGACCCAGCCUGAUUGAGAGCUGAAAUUAUCCCUAUCAGUCUAGAAGCUAGCACCACUAUACCAUACUACUCUCAAGUCAUCACUCCCACCGAGGGUAAGGAUCCAGUCCUUAGUCCUCCGCAGGUACUUGACAAUGUUCUUUACCGCUGUCCAGUGAGCCUUACCAGGAUUCCCCUGAUAUCUGCUGACCAUGCUCAAUGCAAAGGCCACAUCAGGAAGAGUACAAGGCAUAACAUACAUGAUCGAGACUACAACGGAAGCAUACGGAGCUCGACUCAUCUCUACUAUCUCAGCCUCUGUACUCGAGCUCCGAGUCUUACUCAAUCUGGCGUUACUCGGGAUCGGUAACUCACCUUUCUUGGAGUUCUGCAUGUUGAACCUUUUCAACACUUUAUCCAUAUAGGUGCUUUGAGUAAGUCCAAUUAGUCUUUUACUCCUGUCUUUCAAAAUCCUUAUCCCUAGGAUAUAGGCAGCUUCUCCAAGGUCCUUCAUAGCGAAACACUUCCCAAGCCAGGACUUCACUUCCUGCAAAGUUGGNCCUACAGAGUUAGGAUGUCAUUUCCUAUGAGUAGUAUGUCAUCCACAUACAUUACCAAAAACCUAACUAUACUCCCACUAGCCUUGACAUAUACACAAGAUUCAUCUUCGCUCCUCAAAAAACCAAACUCUUUGACUUUCUCAUCGAAACAAAGAUUCCAUCUGCGAGGUGCUUGUUUCAAUCCAUAGAUGGAUUUCUCAAGCUUACACACUCUAUUCGGGUACUUUGCGCUAACAAAACCCUCUGUCUGACUCAUGUAAACAUCCUCAGCCAAUUUUCCAUUAAGGAAAGCGGUUUUAACAUCCAUUUGCCAUAUUUCAUAGUCAUGAAAUGCAGCAAUGGCUAACAUAACCCUAAUAGACUUAAUCUUUGCUACUAGUGAAAAGGUCUCAUCAUAAUCAACUCCUGGAGUUUGAGAAAAGCCCUUUGUAACCACUCGCGCCUUAUAAGUGUGUACAUUACCAUCCAUGUCGGUCUUCUUCUUGAAGAUCCAUUUGCACCCGACUGUCUUACGACCUGAUACAUUGUCAACCAAGUUCCAAACUUGAUUGUCAUACAUGGACUGUAUCUCGUUGUCCAUAGCCUCUUUCCAUUUAGUAGCCUCAAAGCCUGCCAUGGCUUCUGUGUAGUUGUUAGGUUCAUCCAGACUUACCAGUGUGCUAUCACUGAUAAGUGUAUCACCUUCCGCAAUAAUAUGGAAACCAUAGUAAUGCUCAGGUGCAUUCCUAACUCUCGUGGAACGCCUCAGAGGUACAGACUCAUCUGUCAGAUCAACAGGAGUUUCCUCCUCAGGUUGAUUGCUAGGGUUUGAGAUUCCUUCACCACUUGACUCUUGAAUUUCUUCAAGGUCAAUUUUCCUCCCACUGUUUCCUUGGCUCAUGAACUCUCUCUCGCGAAAGACUCCUCUCCUUGCUACAAAGACCACAUUAUCACUGGGUCUGUAGAAGAGGUAACCAAAGGAUCUUUGUAGGUAGUCGAUGAAAAUACACCUCUCACUUCGAGGUUCGAGCUUAUCGCGAGUCUCGUGCCUCAUGAAAGCCUCGCAACCCCAAAUCUUGAUGUGGUCUAGAUUGGAACUUUUCCAGUCCACAUCUUGUGAGGUGUUUUGGCAACCUUUUUGGUAGGGACUAGAUUAAGAAUAUGGGCAACAGUCUCUAAGGAAUACCCCCAAAAUGAGAUUGGUAGCGAAGCUAGACUCAUCAUGGAAUAAACCAUAUCUAACAAGGUUCGAUUACGCCUCUCAGCCACACCAUUAAGCUGUGGUGUCCUGGGAGGUGUCAAUUGUGAGACAAUCCCACAUUCCUUAAGAUCGUCAAGGAACUCUGUACUAAGAUACUCACCACCUCGAUCAGAUCGAAGCAUCUUAAUGUUCCUAACCAACUGAUUCUCCACUUCCUGUUUAAACUCCUUGAACUUUUUAAAGGUUUCUGACUUAUGCUUGAUUAAGUAGACAUAUCCAUAUCUACUAAAAUCAUCAGUAAAAGUCACAUAGAAGCAUUUAGCAUCUGUUGUGGUGGUUCUGAAGGGUCCACACACAUCAGUAUGUAUGAGAUCCAACAAACCCUCACCCCUAGCACAAGAACCAGUGAAGGGUGACUUUGUCAUUUUCCCAAGCAAACAAGAUUCACAACUAUCAUCCGACUUUAGGUCAAAUGACUCCAUGAAUCCAUCCUUUUGGAGUUGGCCUAUGCAUUUCUUGCUUACAUGUCCAAGACGACAAUUCCAUAAUGAUGUUUUAUCCAAGCUAGUGGAAGAAUCGAUGCACAAUACAUUAUUUCCUAGGUUAUCAACAACCGACACAGUUUCAUAUACACCAUCACAAGGUAAUGCUUUAAAAUAAAUAACAUUAUUAAAGAAGGCAUUAAUACCACCGCAUUCAUGUUGGAUUAAUGUCUAAGUCCAUAACUAUAAUUGGUAAGACUUGACCCGACCCGGCAUGGUCCAUUUGGGUUGCAUGGCAUCAUGCACUUGGAUAGACUAAAUGAGAGAAAUAAGACACUCAUAGUUAUUAAUAUAUUAUAAGUUCUAGUAUAUUAAUAAUAAGAAUAAUAAGAUUAUUUAAUUAGUAUUAAUCAAGAAUUAAUCUAGGAUUAAUUAAGUAAUCAAAAGAAGACUAAUUAAAUAUAUGGGUUGAUUGUGUAAAUCAUCCAUACUUGUAUAGUGGGCUAAUGCUCCAUGGAUAAUCAAGUUGGGCUAAAACCCAUAGGAUGGUUCAUGGAUGCUCCAUGGUGUAUUUGAACCCAUGGAUCCAAGGAAAUGGAAAGCCAUGACAAUUAAGAGUUUACCCUAAUUGUAACACUAUAUAAAGAUCACAUUCUUGGGAAAAAUCGGCCACUAGAGAGAGUAAGAAAGGGCUAGCCGAUUUUCAUGAAGUGUAGAAUUCUCUCAAGUCAUUCCAUGUGUAUUUGGUGUUGUGUGAACCAUUUGAGGUGUCACACUUGGGGCACUAGGCACUCAAGCUUCAUGAAGACUUUCUACAUCAAGAGGUAUGUAUUCUAUCUUGUUAAGUUAUUGUUUUGUAUGCUAGAUUAGGAUAAUACCUUGGAAGUUCUUAUUUGCAUGUAUAAUAGAGAAAACAUAGAUCCAAGGUAUUUAGGGUUGCAUGUACACUUAGGAAGUGUUAGAAUGCUCAAAACCCAACAGUGGUAUCAGAGCCACGGGUUGUUUUCUGUUAUAUUGAUGCAAAUAUUUUAUUUUCAAAGUUGAAAAAAAAAAAAAAAAAAAACAUGAAGUUUGUCAAAUUUUAAGAUAAUUACUUGUUCUUGUGAAAAACUAAUUAUUUGUAAAAUUUGAAUAAUUUGCUUUAUGAGUUGAAUUAGGUCAAAUUUAAUAAAAGAUAAAAUAAUAUGAUUAUUUUAUUAGUUUUAAAAGUUUGAUCUAAAGAGUUUUAUUUUUUGAAACCUCCAUAAGUUAUGGAUAUGAAAAGGUUUUAAAAAAAAAAUUGAUUCAAAGUUUUUUUGGAGUUACAAAAUUUGGUGUUAAUGUUUUAAAGGAUUCCAUAACUUAAGAAUAAGUUAUGGAUCACCAAAAGUUUUUUGUGUUACCUUGUUUUAUGAGUGAAUUUAGAUUAAUGAAUAAAAUUAUGUGAUAGUUGGUUUUAAUCCAAAUUAAUCUAAGAAUUGAUUCUAAAAUGUGUUUUUGUAACUUGUCCUCAAGUUAUAUGAAAAGUCACAUUUAAGAAUCAUAAAACUCAUAAAAAUUGGCAAAGGUUACAAAAAUGAAGAGUCUAGUUCUAAUUAAAUGGUUUUAUGACUCCAUAACUUGUCCUCAAGUUAUGGAGGACCAAGAGUCUCUUCAUUUAAUAAAAUAAAAUAAAAAAAAAAAAAGUGUAACCUUAAUUAAUUCCAUAAGUUAUAAAAUAAAGAAAAGUUAAUUCUUUUAUUAGUUUAAAGUCUUCCAUAACUUGUCCUCAAGUUAUGGAACUUGAAGAGUUUUUGGAUUAAAACUACUUUAAACACAUAAGUUAUGGAAUUAAUUAGUUUUGAAUAGUUUCAAAACUUGCCCUCAAGUUUUGGAAUUUGUAAAGUUUUCACUUAUGAAUACUUUAAUUCCAAGUUAGCCCUUAGAAUUUUAAAAGUUAAAAUUCAACCCUUAUACUUUAUAAUAUUAUAAGUUAAUAAUAUAUAUAUGUAUAAGAGUAAAGUCAGUCUUACCGCUAGUACGCCUCAUUCACGAAGCCGGUCUAUAAGGUGGGUAUAAGGUUGUUGCCUAUAAAAUGGCAACUUAAUGGGUGUCCACUCUCACCCACCGCUUGCUUGACUGGUGGAGGGUCGUUAGCCGAACGGGUUUGACAGGACUAGAAUUCUCCCUUCAUUAAAAGUAUUAAUGAUAAUACUAAGUAACUAAACUCUUAAUAAUACCCAAUCUUAGUUACUUAGGAAAAAUGUGAAUAAGGUGCUAAUCCAUGAAAUUACACUUUACACUUUGUCUAAGUCGUUAGUGGAGCGUGUGUGGUUAACCGGCACACUAACUUGGACUUAACAAGGUAGGUAAAGGGUGACUUAAUAUUUAUCAUAGUAUCGAUGGAGCGUGUGUGGUUAACCGGCACAUCGAUUGAGGGGUAAUUUAUUAAGGGUACCAAGUGAUUUGCAUGGUUACUUCACACCUUGUUUUGUGAUCCUCGGCAUCCCAGUCACAAAACCUGAAGGGCACACUCGAGAUUGAAACAUGCCUUUGAACAGUUCAAUGAAUCUCAAAGAUCUAGGAGUUUCAAAACCAAUUAAAACCUAAUAAUACAUUUCGUUUAUCUUGGUGGAAAUUGGUGAAUCGUCAUUCACCUACCUUCAAAUAUUUUAUAGCUUGGAUUACGGCAUACCUCUUCUAAGUUAUAAAAUAGUUUGUUGGGUCCUAGCCUUAAUAUUUCAUAUUGGGUGUCAUAUUAAGGACUUUAAAUCAACUAUCUUGAAUAUCUCCCAAAAGAUGUCUGGUUUAGACACCUAUGAUCUUCCCAAAUCUCUUGAAACAAGGUUUCCUAAUGAAGAUGAUGUCCCAUGGAUAUCAUACUUCUUUCUCCUCCUCCAAUUAUUCUCCCUAACCCACAAGUUCUUGAAAAGUUUAAGGUCACUCAAGCCCUAUUGGCAAGGCAAGGUCUAGGUGUGAUCACAUCUUGGAGAUGUAGUCACAUAUUGACAAGCCGGGAGAGUUGGGUGUCAAAGUCUUGAGAAAGUUGGUGGUUCAAUCACUUUCUAAGUCACAUAGUGAGUUCCUUUGGGACACCUAUGAAACAGACUAUGACAAGACCCUUAAUGAUCUUAUCUAUUUGCUAAGAUCAACUUCCUAAAACUUUAUGGACAUUGACAAUGAUGACAUUGGAUAUCCAGUAAAGCAUUCUCUUCCCAAUGGAAAGGGAUCGGCCAUAGUCAACUCGGUUGACCAAAUGGUAAAGAGAAAAGCUAAGUCUGUGAUAGUCUCGUGUACCAUUAUCAAAGGGUCCAUAUGUUUAUAUUGCCAAAGGAAGGGGCAUUGGUUGCGAAGCUGCCAAAUUUACCUAAGGAUGUUAAAGUCAAUAAGUUUGACUCUACUUCAGGUAAAGUCCACUAUCUAACUCUGUUAAGUUUCUAUUCUGAGAUUCCUGAUACAUGAUGUGACUGGGUCACAUGGUGAUGUUUUAAGAAUCAAAGAAAAGUGAAGAAACUUAAAGAAAGAAUAUGCUGAAUCUGAUGGCGUAGAUGGAUUUCUAUCGCAUAGUUUGAAGAUCGGAUUCUUGAGCAACUUCUUAGGAGUUAUGAGAUAUUGCUUAGGAAUAGAUAACAACAAGUUUUCAUAUGGAUUGUAAGGAUAAGUUUUUCCGCAAAGUUUUAAAAUAAAAGAAAAUUUUUUUGAUUUUAUUUAUUUUAAAAUAUCCUUACAAUGGCUUUUGAGGAAAAAUUGUUGCUUAUAUGAUUCCAUUAAGAGCAAGAGUGGAAAUAUGAAAUUGAUUCUUUCAUUUGUGGUAAUGUCUAGAUUUACCAAAUAAGGAAAGAUUCUCAUCACCCAAGUUUCAAUUGGACCGGAACUUGGAAUCAUGCAAGUUGUAUAGCAUGAUGAAUGAGAACUUUCAAGUUUUGGAAAAUUAAGACUAAUUACUCGGCCACAUGGAUGUGUGAGUCAAGUAAAGGACUAAGGGAUCGAGUACACAUUCUUGUGCACUGAUUAAGUCCACCACAAAAGAUUGAUAAGACUAUUCGUCAUAGUUUACUAAAGCUCAGUAAAUAUGAUUAUACUUACAAGCUUAAGUGUAACUCUGAGACAUUGGAAAAGGUUCCAAUGUAUGGCAGAGCGAAUAAGAAGAAUCAAAUUAGGCAGAAGGAUAAAAGUUUCUCAAAUCUGAAAAGAUGGGAGAGUACUUUAGUAUCAGUUUUGUGAUCAUCUUAAUGAUUAAGAAACCAUAUCAAAAUUAGUUCUCUAAGGAAAUCUUAGUGCAUUCUUAUGACUAAGAAGAGGAACUUGAAUUGUUGAAAUGGUUAAAUCAAGAAGAUGAGUCAUACUUCGUUCCAAUACAAGUCUUAGAGUCAUACUCCAAGAUUGUCAUUUGAGUGACAUGUCUUAAAGAAGGUUUAAAACACUUGUCAAAUGUAAGAGUAAAAGUUUUCUACUCUUGUACAUUUGAAAUUGGUAAGUUGUGAUGUUUUGGAUAAAACAAAGACCAACUUAGGCCAAUUGGGUAAAGUGUUUUUCUUGAUUAGAAUCCGCACUAUCUCUUGGAUGUUUGACAAGGGAGUCUUAUAUGUCAAGAGGACAGUGGGAGUCUUAAAGGUCUUGAAAGUCUCAAGAACUAAUCAAGAAUAAAACCUGAAGUUCUUCACUAGCACACGACUUGAGGUUUAUAACCUAUCGUGUUGACAUAUUCUGUGCCCAUUCCAGUUAAAGUUGGCUUUGCAUAUGAGUUCUUAGAGUUCUCAAUUUGUUGCACAACAACUUGGAAGCAAUGGCAGGCCCUUGAGCUGCCAGGUGGCAAGAAAUUAAGAUUGAGUUCAGUCCAUAUGAGUUUGGAUUUGUCAUUAUCCUUGUCUUGUGACUAUGGUUUUGACAAUUCACAUGGAUAAGAACACAUACACCAUUAAAUCUAAGUGUCAUAAGGUUUCUCUCCGAUUCAUGAAAAUGAUGGUGAGGAAACACUUUCACUAAGUAGAUUUUAGCUAGAUAGCAAUUGUGAUAUUUGCAUUCUCAAAGUCGUUAGUGGAGCGUGUGUGGUUUACCGGCACACUAACCUGGACUUGUGAGAAGUGGCAAAAAGGUCUAACCAUUAUGAUUACGGCAUACCUCUUCAUAAUUGUUUAGACACACAAGUGUGCUAUCUAAGGGAAGGUGUAUGAUUUUGAUAAAGUUUUAUCAAAACAAUCUAGCAUCAGAAAUCUGAACUUUGGUAAGAAAGUCAAUGAAGUAUUGAUUUCUAGAAGUCCAGCUGAUUUCUGAGUACAUGUCAAAGCUAGUGGGAGCAUAAGUGUUAUGCUAAUAAUCAUCAUGUUAGUGGGAGCAUGAUAAUUAUGAUAAGUAUUGCAAGUUAGCAAUGUUAAUUAUAGAAAACAAAAGUUUCAAUUGGGAAAAAGUUGUUUUGCUAUAAUUAAGGGAGAGGAAAUUAUACUUCAUCUCAAAUCUAUAAGCUUAGAUCGUGAGGUUUUAAUCAUUUAGUCAAGGAUAUAUAUGAAUUUCAUGUUGGAAUGGCUCAACAUAAGGAAAUUCUGUAUAUGGGUCCAUUAUUUGCGUUCUAAAAUUCGAUUAUGAUUACGGCAUCCCUUUUCAUAAUCUGAAUUAUGAGAACUUGGCAAAUUGAAAUGGAAAUGUUAUAGCAAAAGACUGGUUUAGUCUUUAUGUGAGACAUCAUGAAUCGUGUCCCAUAUGCUUCGGAUAUAGGAUCGAUUACAUGUGCUAUAUUCAUCCGUUCUAAAAUUUUCCAAAUGCCUGGGGCAUUAAGAAGGGAAAAGGUUUAGAACUGGAUAUGACUAAAAGGAUUAAACAAUUGUCGAGGACAAUCUAAGGUUUACCAAAGAUUGGUUGCUCAAGGACAGUUGGAAGUAUAGUGAUAAUUCUGGAAGGACCAUAUUGACAUAAUCUGUAAGGAGGCAACUCUUGUUCAGAAGUGAUAGUCAAAAUGGAAUCUGGAAAUGUUUCAAAGUUAGAAUUUUCAAUCUGUUUAAGAUUAGGAAACUUAAUGCAAGAAGGAUGUUUCCAAGGAGCUGAUCUCCUUUGGAAUACUCUGUAAUGAUUGUUGUCAAGUCUUUCUGACUUUGUGCAUAAUCAUUACAAGAGGAUCAAUGCAUAUAAGUUUAGAAUCUAACAGAUUUCAGUAAAUGGCAUGAAUUUGGAAUUCUUGCAUUUGCAGUAAGGAUUUGGGAGUGUGAAAAGAGAAUCAUUGAAGUUAUGUUCAAUUGAUCUAGUUCACAAAGUAAAGAUCAUAGACAAACAUAGUAUGCAUACUUGGUGUGUGGCAUGACUAGUGUUUAAGAAAACAUAGUGUACAUGCUUGGAGCAUGGGACAACUAUUGUUUUAAAUUCAAGAAUAAAGUUGAUAGCUGAAACAGUAUACAAUGAAUAAUGUGUAAUCAUAUGGUGAUAAAUAAAAGGUGUUUUAUUUAUGUUCAUAAGUUUUGAUACCAUAUUGGAUUCAAUUAUUAUUGUGUUUCACUUUGCAUGUUUUGACUUCCCGAAUAAACUAGGUUAUUCUUCCGGAAUGACUAAGUUAUUCAAACCAUCCACAGUCGGUCAUAUGUUGGAAGUAGAUAUGAAUUAAGACUGUCAUGGGUUGGCUUGUAGAGGUCUAAGGUGUUGGACAAAGGGCUACAACACUCAUGAGUGCUCAUAAGUUCUGAGUAUUGGAUUCAACCCGCGCUCAUUGGAAUCACUUCAUGGAUUUUAUCACGAGUGAUCAUGAGACGAUAAUAUCUUAUAUUCUUCAAACCUAGAGAUAUGAGUUGUUACUAUGAGUUGAUAGUACAUUGAUUGCACGAAAACGCAUUUGGUAACUCGGUGCUAUAAAACGUGCCUUUGUGUAUGAUUCAACAAGUAGUAGAACAAGCCAUAUGAGUCGAAGUUUAUCCAUUCCUUUUACCUUCGGGAUAAAAGCGAUAUCUGUGGGCCCCUCGAUGAUUUGAUGAUGACAAAUGGAAGUGCUCGGCCGGGCCAGGACUGAUUUGAUUUGUUCAAUUAGUCAGUCGUCAUAAAUCGGAAAUCGGGAAACAACAAAUGGACAGAGAGAAUGAUUAUAAUCCAUGUCUCAGUCCAUAUGAUAUCUAGAAUGGAGGAAUAUAUGAUCCCUUAUCUAAUGGACAAGUCAUUGACAAAGGUCAGAGUUCAUCUACAAGGUCAGAGUUCGACAGAAGCUUUUGAGAGCUACGAUUGCCAGUUGGUUCCUGAAGUCAUACGCAAUAAUAGUUUUAGACUUAUCCAAGUGGGAGACUGUUGGAUUAAUGUCUAAGUCCAUAACUAUAAUUGGUAAGACUUGACCCGACCCGGCAUGGUCCAUUUGGGUUGCAUGGCAUCAUGCACUUGGAUAGACUAUAAUGAGAGAAAUAAGACACUUAUGGUUAUUAAUAUAUUAUAAGUUCUAGUAUAUUAAUAAUAAGAAUAAUAAGAUUAUUUAAUUAGUAUUGAUCAAGAAUUAAUCUAGGAUUAAUUAAGUGAUCAAAAGAAGACUAAUUAAAUAUAUGGGUUGAUUGUGUAAAUCAUCCAUACUUGUAUAGUGGGCUAAUGCUCCAUGGAUAAUCAAGUUGGGCUAAAACCCAUAGGAUGGUUCAUGGAUGCUCCAUGGUGUAUUUGAACCCAUGGAUCCAAGGAAAUGGAAAGCCAUGACAAUUAAGAGUUUACCCUAAUUGUAACACUAUAUAAAGAUCACAUUCUUGGGAAAAAUCGGCCACUAGAGAGAGUAAGAAAGGGCUAGCCGAUUUUCAUGAAGUGUAGAAUUCUCUCAAGUUAUUCCAAGUGUAUUUGGUGUUGUGUGAACCAUUUGAGGUGUCACACUUGGGGCACUAGGCACUCAAGCUUCAUGAAGACUUUCUACACCAAAAAGGUAUGUAUUCUAUCUUGCUAUAGUCAUUGUUUUGUAUACUAGAUUAGGAUAAUACCUUGGAUGUUCUUAUUUGCAUGUAUAAUAGAGAAAACAUAGAUCCAAGGUAUUUAGGGUUGCAUGUACACUUAGGAGUGUUAGAAUGCUCAAAACCCAACAAUUCAUUAUCAAACGAAAAGGUAAAACCUUGUUUGUACAAACCAUGAAAGGAAAUAAUAUUUCUCGCCAUUUUAGACGAGUAACAACACUUAUUCAAAUCGAACACUAACCCACUACUUAGUAUCAAAGAAUAAAUUCCAAUCUUGGUGACAGGUGAAGCUUUCCUAUUCCCCAUGAUCAAGUUUAUCUUCUCAUGCUCCACAUUCUCACUUCUUCUUAGUCCCUGCAAAUCAAAACAUAUGUGAAUACCACGACUAGUAUCAAGGACCCAAGAAUUAUAAUGGGGUGAGUUAUUAGACAAUAUAUUGUAAAUACCUGCAUGAUUGGGUUUUACUUUCCCAUCCAUAACCUUUGCAGGUACUUUGGGCAGUUUCGCUUCCAGUGCGACUUUUCAUGGCAAUAGAAGCAUUCGGCCUCUUUAGGGUUUGUAGAAGGAGUGACAGAACCUUUCUUGGUUUCACUUGAAGAGGAGCCAUCAAGGGACUUUCCCUUGGUACCCUUCGAAGGGAUCUUCCUCUUCUUUCCUUUGCCUUGCCCGAUUGCCAAGAAAGGGAUCACGGUAGGAGUAGGAGUGGUAACAACCAAUUUACCCUUAAGACCACUUUCGGCGGUCUUCAAGAGUCCUUGAAGUUUGCUGAGUGUAACUUCCUCCUUGUUCAUGUGGUAUGUCAUUCGGAAUUGAUCAUAACACGAAGGUAAGGAGUGCAAAAUGAUUUCAAUUGCCAACUCCUCGAGGAAGUUCACAUUCAGUUUCAGCAAACGGUCCACAUACCUUUGCAUUUUCUGCAUGUGGCCCAUGAUGGGUUCACCAUCCUUCAUCUGGGUUGUUAUCAUGGAGGAGAUGAUUUCAUACUACUCUUGACGAGCACUCUGAUGGUAGCGGUCCAUCAAGUCCUGAUGCAUCUCAAAAGGGUAAUAGUCCUCAUAGGACUUUUGGAGCUCGGCUGUCAUUGUGUCCAACAUGAUACAUGCCACCUUAGUGGCAUCUCUCUCAUGUGCCUGGUAUUCAGCGAUCUCCUCAGGAGUAGCAGGCGACUCAUCAAGUUCCUUAAGAUCCUUGUUGAGGACAUAUUCCUUGUCCUCAUACCGAGUGACCAUCUUGAUGUUCCUGAUCUAAUCAAUAAAGUUGGAUCCAUCGAAGAUGACUCUCCCAUAAAGGUUUAUGAGAGAGAAGGAUCCGGUAGGGUUUGAGCCAGAAGCAACAUUGUUGGAAGACAUCUAAAAAGAAGAAAGACAAGUUUAGAUUAGAUAUAAAGAUAGUCGUUAAUAAGAUACCCAAAUGUAAUAUUAAGGCUGGGACCCAACACAAUAUUUUAUAACAUAGAAGAGAGAUGUCGUAAUCCAAGCUAUAAAAUAUUUUAAGGUAGGUGAAUGACGAUUCACCAAUUUCCACCAUGAAAAACAAAAUAAAUUAUUAGGUUUUAAUUGGUUUUGAAACUCCUAGAUUCUUUUCAAUGACAUGUUUCAAUCUCGAGUGUGCCCUUCAGGUUUUGUGACUGGGAUGCCAAGGAUCACAAAACAAGGUGUGAAGUAACCAUGCAAAUUACUUGGUACUCUUAAUGUUUAUUACCUAACAGAUGUGCCGGUUAACCACACGCGCUCCACCGAUCUAUAAUAAACCUUAAGCCACCCUUUUCCUACCUUGUUAAGUCCGAGUUAGUGUGCCGGUUAACCACACACGCUCCACUAACGACUUAAUCAAAGUGCAAAGUGUAAUUUCAUAGGUUAGCACCUUAUUCACAUUUUCCUAAAGUAGCUAAGAUUGGGAAUUCAUAAAAACAUUUAGUUACUUUACACUCAUCAUACUUUUAAUGAGGAUUAAACUCAUUCUCUUACCCAUUCGGCUAACGACCCUACACCAGUCAAGGAAGCGGUGGAUGAGAGUGGACACCCAUUAAGCUGCAAUUUUAUAGGCAACAACCUUAUACCCCCUUAUAGACCAGCUUUGUGAAUGAGGCCUACUAACGGUAAAACGACUUGUUCUUAUACAUAUAUAAUUAUUACUCCCUCCGUCCCAAUAUUAUUGUCCACAGACAAAAAACACACAGAUUAAGGAAGCAUUAAUUACCACUAACUUUAUACAAUAAAAUGACAAUUUUGUCCUUACUUUGCAUUUAAUGUUCCAUUAAAAGCUUAGUUGGUUAAGUAAUAAUGAAGGGUAUUUUGGUAAAAAUGCUAUUUAUUUUUAGAAGUGGACUAUUAUUUUAGGACAAACCAAAAAUGAAAGAUGGACUAUAAUAUUCGGACGGAGGGAGUAUUAAACUUAUAAUAUUAUAAAGUAUAACGGUUGAAUUUUAACUUUUAAAAUUCUAAGGGUUGGAACUAAAGUUUUACCAAAGUGUGUGAGACUUUACAUGUUCCAAAACUUGAGGUUAAGUUUUGUAACUUUCAGAACUUUUCAUCUUUAUAACUUAUGAGUUAAUGCUUUAUUAAAAUGAGAGACUUUUCAUUUUAUGUAACCUAUGUGUUUCUUUAAUGGACUUUAAAAGAGUGACUUUUGGUAAUCCAUAACUUGAUUACAAAUUAUGGAUUCCAUUAAAACACAUAAAGAUCAAGAAUUAAACUACCAAGCAAGUUGCAAAUAAUUCUUAUGAUCUUCUAAACUCAUAAGUUCAUGAACAUUCAUAUCAACAAUUUCAAGAAUCAUAAAUAAACCAUACAGAACUUGAAAUUUUGAUAAUAGCUAUUGAAAAUGGAUUAGCAUAACCAUUACACCAACUAAAACAACUUUUAUAAGACCAAAACAAUUUAGGGUAAUGUUUCUAGUCCAUUUCUAGCAUAAAAACGCAAAAAUCUGCAUUCAGGGGCUCCUACUCGUCGAGUCCACGAACCUACUCGACGAGUAGGAUGAAUUAUCACAUGGGCUCGUCGAGUCCCCCCAUGGAUUCGGCGAGUUCAUGCUGCAGAAUGCAGAAAACUUGAGUUUUUUCAACAAUUUGCAUCAAGUAUCAAGAGAAAAAGCCUAGGCUCUGAUACCACUGAUGGGUUUUGAGCAUUCUAACACUCCUAUGGUGUACAUGCAAUCCUAGAAACCUUGGAUCUAUGUUUUACUAAGAUACAUGCAAAUUUUCUUUUCCGGGGUUCUUAACCUAACUAGCAUGGCAUGGGGAACUUUGAAACAUAAUAAGCUAGUAGAGUUACAUACCUUUUAGUAGUGGUUGAUUGCUUGAAGUUUGAGAGCCUAGCACCAAUAAUGUGGAUGCAUCAAAUGGAAGUCACAAAUCACCACAAACCUUGGAAACUUGAGAGAAUAGUAGAACACUUCUAGAAAUCGCCACCCUUAGUUCUCACACAAAAACUAGUGCCAUUUCAAUUGCCAAUGACCCCUUUAUAUAUUGUAAUGGAUUAGGGUUACAUCCAUGUAAACCUUAAUACCCAUGACCUUUCAUUUCCAUGAGAUCCAUGGGUUAAAGCUCCAUGGGCUUACCAUGCAAGCCUAGCCCAUUCUAAAUAAGCAUUAGCUCACACUAUAUAAAUACAAGAGUCCAUAUUUAAUUAGUCACACUUUUGAUCACUAAAUUAAUUCCAAAUUAAUUUUAGAUCAAUACUAAUUAAAUAAUAUGAUUUCAUAUUAAUAUAUUAGAACUUAUAGUAUAUUAAUAAAUCAUAACGUAUACUAUUCUCAAAAGAUUAUCCAUAUAAAUUAUUCGGGUGAAGUGAAACCAAAAUGGACCAUGCCGGAUCGGGUCAAGUACAUCUCAAAUAUAGUUAUGGACUUAGACGCCUUAUCCAACACGGAAGAGCCGGAGUUCACUCCUGGAACUUGUCUGUAAGACCCAAGGUUUUGGCCCCCGACCUGACAAGGAAGAGCGCGAGACGGCUCGUGGCAUAAUGGCAAGACUAUGGUUGGCACAUAAUACUUUUAUUGAUUGAUUGGAUAUGUAUGAUAUGUAUGGCUCAUAUGAUAUGUUCAGUAUGUGGUAUUUGGGGAAAUCACUAAGCUUUGUGCUUAUAGUUUGUGCUUUAUGGUUUCAGGUACUUCCGGUUUGAAAAGGAAGGGCUCAGCUUGAUCGCAGCGGACACACCUAUGUUUUUCCGCAGCUUAUGAUUUUGGGAAUUACUCUGAUAAUGGUUUUUAAUUUGGAAUAUCUUAAUUCUUGGACAAAUGUAAAUGGAUUUUGGAAUUUAUAUAUUAAAAAUGAAUUUUUUUUACCCUUGAUUUCCGGGAUGUUUCACUUAGUAGCUGGUCCACAUCACUAAGAGUCUCACAAACCACAAAGCAAUCAGCAUGCAUUCAGGCAACAAAAAAUCUAACCAACAUACACUAAUAAAGCCAUUGUAUCCACUUAUCAGAAAUUCAUACUAGCAUGCAAUUCUAAAGCUCAUACAAUCAGGCAUAUAAAGGAAUAUCUCUUAUCAUAUUAUACUGAGCAGAUCCUUAGCCAUAAUCUAGCAUGCAAUUCUCAUAAUCGUAUCAUAUAUCAUAAUAAACAUGUAUUGGUAUUUUGGGAACCACUUACUUGAGUUCGGCCGAUUGCACGCAUCACACCAUUUUCUUUGAUUAGAAAUCCUUUCUGAUAAGACAUUUAUUUUACGAAAAUUUUCACCAAAUCCUCAGUAUUCCCGAAUCCCUCAAACCAAGGCUCUGAUACCAACUUGUAACGUCCCGAAAACCAUAGGGUAAAAUUUCAUUUUAAUAUGUAUUCAAACAUUCAUUUAUCUUUAUUCAAACAUUUAAAGGUAUUCCAAAGUAAAACAAUUAUCAGAGUAAAAUCCCAAACUCAUGAAUUGCGGAAAAAAAUGGGUGUAUGUGUUGCGAUCAAGCCGGGCUCUUCCCUUUCGAACCGGAAGUACCUGAAACCAUAAACCACAAAUUGUAAGCACAAAGCUUAGUGAGUUCCCCAAAAUACCACAUACCAUACAUAUCAUAUAACAGGCCCCGCCCAAAUGAGAUACGGGCCCCGCCCACACUUGCAUAAGGGUCCUCACCCAAUAAACAUACAUAUACAAGUAUCACACAGAAAAACAAGUAUAAUAACAUAACCAAACGAGGGUCAACCUUGGUGCUUUAGACUCGCUAAACCUAGUGAGGAAACUCACCUAAACAGUUGGUCACAUGAAAAUAUCUCUAACUGCAGAUCCACUAGAAUCCCCGCCCUAUCAAACAAAUAACACCCAAUUAACAAUUGGUUUCUAUACAAAAUCCAAUAAUCCAUAAAUAAGGUAAAACACCAUUUUAACCUUCACCUCGUUUUGUCCAAGAUUAAGGCCCAAACUCCCCAUCAAAAGGCCCAUAAACCAAAAGUCAUCCAAGGCCCACUUAUGACCCAAUUUUCUAAAUUGGGCCCAACCCUUAUAUGGGUCGUACCCUAAAGCCCAAUAACUUAUUCCUAAUAAAAAACACAUAUUCACAGCUGGUUCAACAAACCCCAAUCAAGUCACGCCCAAACGAUAACCCAAAUCCAAAAUGACACCACCAGGCCCAAUAAGGCCCAAAUAUCCAAAUUAGGCCCAAAUCCAUCAUGGACCUAUCCUGAGAAGGGCCAAUAUCCAGAAAGGCCCAAAAUAUCCAAUGGUCCACCCUAGUCCACUUCUAGUCAAAGGUCAAAUGCCCGAUAAAAGUCAACAAAACAAAAAAGGUAAAAUAGGAAGAGUAUGCUCCGCGUACUCAGCCGGUACACCCAGCGUACACCCUUUGGGCCAGUACCCGCAACAUACCAGAUGGGUACGCCCAACGUACUCCCUUAAACCCCAAUCUCCGCCAUUAAGCACUUAGUAACUUAAAUCCUUGCUCUAAACUCUCAGAUCUGAUUCCCAUAGAUGACUUAUUACGUAAAGUUGACAAAUUUACUCGCAUACAUGGCUUAAUGGGACUCUAGAGCUCAAAAUAGCUUAAUGAAAGGUCUUAACACAUGCAUGACUCCAAAUAAACCAUAAAUAUUACAUUUUUAUGCCUUUGGGAUACCUAAAACGUCCGGAUCCACAAGAUUAAUCCUCUAAAACAACUAUAGCUCAUAAGAACCACCAAAAGAGGCUAAAAUGACUAAGAACAAACCCAAAAUAAGAUCUAACCGAAGUGUGAGCAAGAUAGAGACUUUAUACUUUCAAGAUCACGAAAUGAUGAUGUAACUUUUGGAUCUUUAAGCUCCUUUCAAGAUAGCUAGUCUUUAAACUUCUCCUUCUCUUGCACAAGCCACCACAAACACUCUUCCAAGCUCCAAGACUCACUUAAGGCACUCUAGGGUUUAAAGUUAGAUGAAAGGGGAUGGAGGCUGACUUAAAAGACCCAAAUGAAGACCAUAAUGAUGUUGAUAUAGGGUAGGAACCCCAAAACUAGGCUUUUGAUCUGAAGGGAGUACGCCUUGUGUACCCCUUAGUACGCCCAACGUACUCAAAGACCAUCCGUGACCACUUAAACCUCUACGCUCGGUGUUCACAAUGAGUACGCCCCGCGUACUCAUUGAACCUCUAAAACCCUAACUUCACUUGGCUCUAACGUCUUCGUUCUAAGUCCGUUUCCGACGAACUUUAUAUCCACGGAAAGGUGACGAGAAUCCCUACACUUCUAAAAACACACCCUACCUUAAAACCUCCCGAACAAUAACCCAAAAUUCAUGAAGACCCGAACUGCCUUAAUUACGAUUAUACUCUUGGGCUCUGAAACACAAUUGAACUCUUGGAUCACUAAAACUAUAACACCCACAUUCAAAAAGGGCCAAAUCAUUUUUUCCCCAAGGCACGAAGCCUCAUGACAACUGAUGAUUGGGCCACAGCCCAGAAUAAUGAAGCAAUCCGAAACUGAGUGUAACAAAAAAAUGAAUUACCAAUAGUUCUAAAAUCCCAAAAACAUGUCAUGUGAAAACCCUUGUAUCAUACAUCAAAAAAACGGAAGUCUAAAACAUAAACAUAUGAGAUGCGCGUGCAUUACUAUCCAAUUGGAGUCUUCUUAAUACGAGAAGCACAACUUGAAAAACAUUUAAUCUACAUUCGCGCAUAACACUUUCAUUAUCACUUUGUACUCUAUUCUAUUUUCGUGAUUAGUAUGAGCUUAAAAAAUCAUUUACAUGAAGUGUUUAUACCUUUACGUUUGUUUUGAUUCGUUUAUUGAUUUCAUAACUCAUCAAGGUAAAUAUAUGUCAACAUUUGCCAUUAGAAAAAAAAAAAAAAACACGCCGCUAUAAAUCCUUUAUGGUCACCAUCGAAUUUCUUGUGAGUGAGUAAUGUAUACACGUCAUUUUAUAAUAAUAUUCUUGUCACUAAAACUAUUUUAUGAUGACUCAUUACCUUCUAAUUGGUGACAAAAGGUACAUAAUAGUCAUGUAAAAUAAAUUAAAAGUCACUAUAUAUAUAUAUAUAUAUAUAUAUAUAUAUAUAUAUAUAUAUAUGAAAUUUGUNUGACGGUUAUCAAAAUAAGAUAGUCACUAUAAUUCAACAUCAUCAUAACAUAUAUGUUGGCUUAAUCGGUUUGUUUAGCGGGUUAACGGGCAAUAGGCGAACGGGUGUCAUGGGUUAGAUUUGGAUAAAUAGAAAACUUGGUUUUCUGACUAGGUUUGGAGGAAAUAAAGUGGCUUAGUUGCCACUUAGAUAGGAACACAUGUGUAACUAGUUUUUAGCUUAAUUUGUUAUUUCUUGUUAUCUAAAUAGAUGUAGUUGUACUCGUUGUUACACGUGAGGUGAAUAAGAAUCAGAAAGAUAAUUCCUCCAUCUCUAAACUCUCAUCAAUGACACCGCAUUUCCUCACACAUUUAAUAAAAAAAACGUCGUAAUGUCUUUAAUGACAGAUUUUUUUGCGUCGGCAAAACUCAAUUUUGUACUAAUCACUCAUGUAUACUAAUUUACCCUUAAUUUUUUUUGGAAUGUCAAAUCUAUUCUAUUCCUAAACUACUUCUAAAGUUAUUUAUGUCCGUGAAAAGACUUAAACACUCGACCUUAAAGAGAAAGGACAACAACAUAAAGAGAAAAGACUGAUAAAGCUAACAAUUUACUAGCCCUUUUUUGAUUAUCAAUUCUUUUUAUGAAUUUCCGUACAUUUGUAAUUAACAUCGAUCAAGUGGGGCUUUCAAUCUGUUUUGGGUAAUAAAGGAAGAGUUGUCGACUGGGGUGGACCAACUACUUGAGACCUUAUAUUUAGAGAGAGAAGUUCUCCCAUGAAGAGGAGCAAAUAAUUCUUUAUCUCCACUUGGUACUUGUUCACUUCUUUCAACUUUGGACGACCCAUUCCCAAUCAAGGUCAAUAUCUUUGGCAGAUGCGUUGAAUGUGAACUAAUGUUCUUUGUCAAACGAUUGUGCUGUUCCUAAAACAAAGCCCUUGGUAGGCAUCGUGGUUACAUCUUCUCCAGCCUUUUGCACAACUUCGCCUUUCUUAACCCUAUAUGUAGAAGGAGCGUCUAACAACAGUGAAAAUUCAGGAAAUGAGUGAGAAGGUAGGAUUUCUUAGGCGGCUAAAAACGGUGAGCCAUACUCUUUUCCUACCAGUUUCCGUUACUGCUUAAUAAUUAAUACGUAUAUCAUUGACCCAAAUGGUCAAAUAUUUGGUCAUUGUUUAAACAAACGCUAGAGGAGGAUUGUGCAUAAAUAGAUCGAUCCUUGAUGAAUGGUUACACACACAGUUCAUUUGUUAGUCAUUCACUUUCAAUAAUGGCCUCGUUCUUAAAAGAUGGAAGACUUGCCUUGGCUCUUAUCAUCUUCAUCGUCAUUACUUCGUCAUCUCACAUCAUGACAAUCGCCAUUGCAGCUCGAACACCAUACCACCAUAUCCGCCAACUAGGUUUGGUUUUCUCUAUUCAUCUCACAGUUAAUAAUAGGAAAACCCUAAAUGAAGUUGUUCCAGCAUUUCUUAUAAUUUAACCAAGUACGUGUAUACAGUUAAAUAAAUUUUCAAGAAUACAAAACAGAGUUUGACAUCAUUUGUGUAUCUUCUUCUAUCACCAAUUUGUUUUUCAUUCGCCUAUUUCCAGAUUUUCAGCAUACAACUUGUACUUGCAUGAUGUCACGUACCCAUACAACUUAAAACAACACGUUAUAUUGAUAAAACCUUGAGUGAACAAUUUGAUAAUUAUUAUUGAUCCACACAUCGGAAGUAACAAAAUUGUUAAAUACUACUAUUAGUUGAGGUCUUUGGGUCCUUUAGUAAAAGAAAUAUAUAUAUANNNNNNNNNNNNNNNNNNNNNNNNNNNNNNNNNNNNNNNNNNNNNNNNNNNNNNNNNNNNNNNNNNNNNNNNNNNNNNNNNNNNNNNNNNNNNNNNNNNNNNNNNNNNNNNNNNNNNNNNNNNNNNNNNNNNNNNNNNNNNNNNNNNNNNNNNNNNNNNNNNNNNNNNNNNNNNNNNNNNNNNNNNNNNNNNNNNNACCCGGGUGUGGUAGUGGAGGUGGAAGUGGUGUUCCAGUACCGCCGAAACGACAACCAUGUGGUUCGACACCAAGUUCGAGACUUUGUAAGAAGGGAUGCUGUGGACUGAAUAAAAUGGGAGAUACCAUAUGUUGCUAAGCAGUAUUGGAGGUUGUUCCACAUCAAAUAAUUAAAGAUCCGAAAAUAAGAUUUAAAACCAUUUCCUUUUUUUUCUACUUGUUUUGAUUGAAAAUGAUCUAUAUGUAUGAGUAUGGGCGCAUAAAUUUUAGUCUCAUACAAUAAUGGUUCUUGUAAUUGGUAAAAUGUGGUAUUUCCGGUCCAUUUCUUUUUCUAGAAAUAUUUGACAAUGACUACAAAAAUAAUGACCAUUAGUGGCGACAGACGUCGCCGCUAAAGGUCAUGAUUGUCGCCGUUAAUACCUUUAGCGGUGACACGUCGCCUCUAAAAGGUCGCCGCUGUUGGUUCGUCGCUAAUACCCCAUUUGUUGCCGCUAAAGGUGGUUGUCGCCGCUAAUACCUUAUUGCCACUAAUACUUUCCGUCGCCACUAAAAGUGUCACCGCUAAUUGUAGUUUUCUAAUUUUUUUAUUUUUUUAAAAACUUUCUUCCAUAUACAAAAGAAACGAUAUAAAAUUAUAAAAAUUGUUAUAAAACUAUAAAUUUUUUAUAAAACAUAUAACCAAAAACACAUCCAUACAUACACAAAUACAUACAUAAUACACAUACAAAAACAUAUACAUACAUAUACAAAAACACAUAAAAACACACACAC